CCGUGAUAAAGUAGCAUAAUCACUCGUCAUUUAAUUGGUGACUGGAAUGAAUGGUUACACGAAUCUUUAACUGUCUCAAGAAGAAAGUUCAAUUAAUUUGAAAAAACAGUGAAGAUGCUGUUAACAAAAUUGUAAGACGAAAAGACCCUUUCGAGCUUUACUAUAAGCUUAUAGAAAAAAUCUUUAAUAAAAAUAUAAUAAAAACAAACUGUAAGCUAGUUAGUUUGGUUGGGGCGACCACCUCUAAAACAGUAUCAGAGGAAAUCUAAAGGUAUAAUAGUAAUAUUAAUUGCCUUACUGUAUACAGACAAGUUAAUCAGUUACUAUUAUGUAGGAUAUAAUGACCCGUUGAAUUAAUUUCAAAAUUCAACGACCAUGAAAAAAGUUACCGUAGGGAUAACAGGGUAAUAUUAUCAAAGAGUUCAUAUCGAUGAUGAU
rnacentral:rRNA from 1 species